rnacentral:ribozyme from 2 species
UCCGCUCGAAACUUUGCACACCUCUACGCGGUGGGCGGCAGGCAACACAGUGUGUAGAUGCUGUGGCAAAGAAUGCAAGA